GAAAAUCAUCGCUGGUUAGGAUCUACAGAUGUUGUCAAUGGUGAUUGGAGAUGGAUAUACGAUCAAACUCAAUUAAGCUACAAAAACUUUUAUUCGGGAAGACCUUAUCCAACCAGUAGUUCCAAUUCCUACACAUAUAACUGUAUUGCGAUUAACUACAGCGCUGGUACAUGGUUCGACGCCCCUUGUAACGAUAAAAGAUCCUAUGUCUGUGAAAGUAAUUUCUGUUUCCAAUAGUACACUGCAGACAUCAGCAGAUGACAGAUUCAAUAUUAUUCAAUAAAGUGUGAAUCAUUUUA